CGACGUGAGGAACCUGCCUUCCAGAGGGGGACAACAGUUGGAAACGACUGCUAAUACCGCAUGAUGCGUUGGAGCCGCAUGACUCCGACGUCAAAGAUUUAUCGCUGGAAGAUGGCCUCGCGUCUGAUUAGCUAGUUGGUGAGGUAACGGCCCACCAAGGCGACGAUCAGUAGCCGGACUGAGAGGUUGGCCGGCCACAUUGGGACUGAGAUACGGCCCAGACUCCUACGGGAGGCAGCAG
rnacentral:rRNA from 1 species